GGGAGGCAGAAUAAGGGAGGCAGAGUACAAGCAUCUUCCAUAGUUACAUCAGGGAGCUGAGGACUCCCUCUGCUCAUGGGGAAAGGGAGCAGCAGCAGGGGUUCUGGUCAGAAGACAGAGAUAGAGGCAGAGCAGAGGCCAAGAGCAUCCAUUUGUGCCAGUGGCUCAGACAUUUGGGGAAGGUGCUCCAGGGUCUUAGAGGUGAGGGAGUGGAUGAUCUCCAGCUGAGCGAAGGGCUUCUCUCCUGAACCUCCCUCAAACUGGGGAAGUGGGAACAGGCAGAAAACACCUACACUGCAUUUCCUACAUUGUCUCGCUCGGAAUCACAAUAGCACUAUGAGAUUGAGAAUAUCGUCCCCCACUCACACAUGGCCAAAAGCUUACUUGGAGAGGCCAAUGUCCCACAUGGCAGAGCCACCACAUAGAGCUAAAUCUGUCGAUUUCAAGCCAGCUAUACUUCCUUGAGACUCCAAACUAAGCACCAGGUCCUUUCCUCACAAAACCAGUUGUUUCCUGUGAGGAAGAAUCUGUUACUACAGACUUACCUUCCCUUAAGGGGAAGAGAUCCUAACAUCCUAUUGGGCGAUAGGAUCCAAUCAUCAGAUCCUAAUCAACACCUGCUCUGUGCUGGGUGCUACUGGGGGUAUAAGACUGUGAGACGCAGCCCUUCUUCUCAGAAGCUCAGAGACUAGGUGGAGGUGCAGACUGCACAAAAGAGGUUCCCUCAAUCAGAUCCAAUGUGCUAAGUGUCCAAAAAAUAGAGCACCAGAAGGGUGCCAGAGUGUUAGAGCCUUGACAGGCAGGUCUGUCAUUGGAGGACUUACUGGAGGAGGAAGCAUUUCAGUUGAGCACUGAAGAAUGAGAAGGGUUUGGAGGUUGAUUUCCAAGGCAGUCCUUUGUGCAAGGCAUGGAACGCAGAGGAGAGGAAGAAACAAACCAUGUUCAUGGAUGGGGAGCCGCCUCACCACCACAACGCUGGCUAUGCCCUUCCAAUUUAAUCCAUGCAUUUUUAUUUCCAAUAAAAAUUGCAAUGGGGUUUUCUUGGCAACUUGACAGAGUCAUCCCCAAAUGUACAUGGAAUAGUAAAGAACACAGAACAGCCAAGACAAUUUUGAAAAAGAAAGAGGAAGAGGAAGGGAACCUCCCCCUAUCAGGUAUCAAUAGGCACUAUGGAGCUCUAACAAUUAAAAUGGAUUUGGUCCCAGGAACAGAUCAACAGAUAGUAGAACAGAGAAUAAUGCCUAGGGGCAGAUCAAAAUAUAUAGGAGAGUGUGAAACACGACAAAGGGUAAAAUGGUCUUGUUAACAGAUGAUGUUGAACAAUUGAAUUCCCCUAUUGGAAAACAUAAAAUUGGAUCCCUGCUCACACCACUCACAAAAUAAGUUCCAGGUUGGUUAAAGUCCUAAAUGUGAAGAGCACACUAUAAAACUUUACAAGAAAAUAGAGGAAAAUAACUUUAUGAUCUUAGAGUAGAAACUAAACAAAACACAAAAAGCAUAAAUGAUUUUUAAAAUGAUAAAUCUUACUACAAUUAUUUCUGUGUGACAAAAGAUGAAGAGAUUUCUUAAAGCCACUGGCUGGGAGAAAGUAUUAGCAAUCCAUACGAGCAAGAGACAAUUAGUUUCCAAAACAAUGUUUUUUAUAACUCCAGAGAAUCAAUCUACCAAAACAUUCCAGAGCAAUAGGAAAAUGGGCAAAAAAAAAAAA
ensembl:lncRNA